GACAGAAAGCCUGACCAAUGAGAGACCAGAUUCGGACCCUUUCCUAUUUCCAGUGGACCUGUCUGGGAAGGGAAAUUGAGCUACCUCCAGGUGACUUUACGCUCCCUAACGUCCCGAUGACGUCAUAGGUGCCCGUGGAGGCUAGAAGAGGGCAUGGGAUCUAUUGGACCUGGAGGUAUACAUGAUUGUGAGCUUCUCAAUGUGAGUCCUCUACAGAGCAGUAUGUGUAUGUGCUCUUAACCACUGAGCCAUCCCACCAGCCCUUAUUGGCAUUUGGACCCCACCCUUGAUGUACACCAGGAAUCUCAGACACAAAUGUAUGUAAGUCCACAGUCAGAAGAGGGCGUCAGAUCCCGUGGAACUGGAGUUACCAC